AUGGUGAAGAGGGAGAGAGGGCAACAUGAGGGAGGAAUGUCACUCUGUGAAACACAAAGAGGGGAUAGGGAUAAAGCUAAACCACCAUUAUGCCCCCAUGCCACCAUUUUGUACUCAUGUCCUCCAUUUUGUGUUUCCAGGCCACCAUUUUGUACUCAGUCCUCCGUUUUACACCAUUGGUCCUCCAUUUGUUGCCCUCAGUCUUCCAUUUUGUGCCUCGGCCCUCCAUUUGGUGCCCUCAGUCUUCCAUUUUGUGCCUUUGGUCUUUCAUUUUGCCCCUCGGUCCUUCAAUUUGUGCCCUCAGUCUUCCAU
rnacentral:lncRNA from 1 species